GCUUAUAUAUACAUCCCAAAACGCAUCGAGAUCGGUAGAUAGAUUAAGCAUUGUUAUAUUGAGAACAGGGCACCAAUUUGUUUGAUAAAUAAUGGCAAAAUUAAGCAUGGCAAAGUUUUUUUCACUUUUUCUUUUGGUUUCAGUGAUGAGAAGUGAAGUGGGUGUGGUUAAAGGAAACAAAUGUGGGCUUAAGAUUUGGUACCUGGAUAACUGCGUACCUGAAGAUUGCUCUCAGCUUUGUGAUAGGGAUUUUGUACCUGGAGUAGUAGCUGUAAUCUCAGAUUGCCAGGCAUCCACUUGUUUUUGCCAAUAUUUGUGCCAAUAAUAAUAAUGCGAAGAUUUAUAUGCAAUUAUUUUCAUAUAAAGUUAAUAGGUAAAAAUUGUUAGAUAAAUUGAUAGAUUUGACUAUAUUAUUGUCUAAUGAUUUUUUAUUAUUAAUUUCACAUGAAGAUAACUGUA